AAUAUUUUGUAGUUUUCCAAAAUCUUUGUCCUGUCAUGUAUUUUGCUUAUAAGCAUGACCAACAAAUUCAAAGGCAAAAACCACAAAAUCAGUCAAUGGUCUUGGAAACUUUGCAAGUAAUAAGUAUCGGUAUCGGCAUGGGUGAUACUGGACCUGUAUUUACAGUACCGGGUGUCCGAUCAAUACCAAUAUUUGUCAUAUGUCCACCGCUAGCUGACACUCUCAACUCUCACUUGAUAUAUACGCCAAUGCGGCCAAUCACAGGUGAGGAUACAGGAUCCUUCCAUUAUGUAAAAAACAGGACAGAUACUCUCAGAAAGGCGAUAUCAGCCCAUCCAAGCUGAGCCAUCUAAGUUUUCUUAAGCCAUCAUGCAACUAAGGACAUUUUUACUGAUGUUUGCUUAUGUUUUUGCAAGGGUGGAUUUGUUUAAAAUGUUUUAUUCAUUUGUUUUUCAGUAAUUAAUUUGAUUCCAAUAUGAAACAAAAAGUAAGACAUUAGAGCAAAAGCACAAAAUGAUGCGAUUAUAAGUUCAUAACGACACGGCAGAGCAACAAGAGUGUUUCCUGCACAUUCAGAUAUUCUAACUGCCACAGAUAACGAGGAGCUGCCAAAGGACCUCAGGGACCUCAGGUCUACCAGGUGUACUAACAUAAGACUGGAAUGGACUACAAGAACAUCAACAAGUCUGUAGACCUGCACAAGACUGGGCUGGAGUACAAGACUGUAGACCUGCACAAGACUGGAAUGGACAACAAGACAAUCAACAAGACUGCAGACCUGCACAAGACCUGAAUGGAUUACAAGACCAUCAAUAUGACUGUAGACCUGCACAAGACUGGAAUGGACUACGAGAAGAAGUCUGUAGACCUGCACAAGACUGGAAUGGACUACAAGAACAUCAACAAGUCUGUAGACCUGCACAAGACUGGAAUGGACUAUGAGAACAUCAACAAGUCUGUAGACCUGCACAAGACUGGAAUGGACUAUGAGAACAUCAACAAGCCUGUAGACCUGCACAAGACAGGGCUGGAGUACAAGACUGUAGACCUGCACAAGACUGGAAUGGACAACAAGACCACCAACAAGACUGCAGACCUGCACAAGACCUGAAUGGAUUAUAAGACCAUCAAUAUGACUGUAGACCUGCACAAGACUUGAAUGGACUACGAGUCCAUCAACAAGCCUGUAUACCUGCACAAAACUGGAAUGGACUACGAGAACAAGUCUGUAGACCUGCACAAGGCUGGAAUGGACUACGAGAACAUCAACAAGUCUGUAGACCUGCACAAGACUGGAAUGGAAAACGAGAACAUCAACAAGCCUGUAGACCUGCACAAGACUAGAAUGGACUGUGAGAACAUCAACAAGCCUGUAGACCCGCACAAGACUGGAAUGGACUACGAGAACAAGGCUGUAGACCUGCACAAGACUGAAAAUAAAUACUAGACCAUCAACAAGACUGCAAGAUUCAGUCUGAAUCAGUUUUACUUUUCAACAUUUCAAAAUCCACUGUUUUUAAUCAGCUGAUUUAAGACAAGUGGACUAUUCAGACUUUUCUAAAAAAAAAAAAAAAAAAGUCCAUAAUUCAGCUUUUUCGCAGAUAUUUUUCCGAGUGAAAUGAAUGGGCACUUUCAAUGCCGCCCCCUGUUGGUGGCCAUUGAUUUAAAUGUAACAUUCUGCUCAUUCUGUGCACGGCGGCAUGACCGCGUCACACAGGGGUCGUCUCCCAGCCUGAUGCUUUCUGGUUCCAUCCUCAGUUGGUGAAUACGUUUCAACACAUUUGGAGGAUAUUUCAACAUCCAUUCUACAUUUCAGUUCAACUUCAGCAUUCACACACAAUUUCUACUGAAACCGCUUCAUCUACUUCAUAUUAUUAGCGCCAAUCUUUUGCUGUUAUUAUUUGCUGUUUUUCCCCAUUUUAGUUAAAAAAAAUGUUUCAUUUUUUUCCUGCAACAUGCCAAUAAAAUACCAGCCGCUGGCUACAAAUGGCCCCCGGGCCUCCCUUUGGACACCUUAGUAACACUAAUAUAAUCUGGUGUGCAUGUAAACGCAGUGAUUGGGUUCAUCAUGGGAACACUGACUUUCAUCAAGAACAUGCACAUGAACUCCUGCUUUGAAAGAUGUCAAACUUGCACUUUUGAAACGAGAAAAAAGCUUUUGCGAGUGAUUCCCUGACUCCUUCAAAAGCUUGAAAGUCUGACAGAUGAGUUUUCUUUCUCGGUGGAGUGAAAAGCUGUAAUCAAACGCCCUUCGGUGCGUGCAUCACCAGCGGACUCCUGAUAACACACUUAUCAGCGCAGCAGCUGCUUGACCUUGAUGCUGUCCCUGAGACAUGAUGAUGUUGUCUUGCACAUGCUCAACACAAUGAGUGCACAGUUUCCACUUUUAAAAUGAAAAUGGAAUUAGCAUUUUGCACAUUUGGAUCAUAAUGAGGUUUUAAGUAGAGCUACAAUAUGAAAAAACAAGAAGGGGGAGUGAGACAAAAAACAUUUUGAAAAAGUAAUUUAUUGAAAAUAACAAUUAAACUGAAAUAGGCUGUUUAUCAGCUGAUCAAAAGUUUAAGACCAUCGCUCAAAAAAUAACAACUCUCAGAACAACCAGAACAAAAAAUGUUCUCAGUAGGACUCAGUAAUGAGUAGCUCCACCGUUCUUGUUCAUCACUUCAAAAAUGGCUUUGGGCAUGCUUGAUGCGAGUGUUUCCAGGAGGCUAGUGGGAACAUUGCUCCAAGUGGUGAAGAUGGCUUCACCAAGGGCAUCAACUGUCUGGAACUGAUGGCCAUUUUUAUAAACUUCCCUUGCCAUCCAUCGUCAAAUGUUCUCUAUGGGAUUUAAAUGAGGGGAACAUGCAGGAUGGUCCAAAAGAGUGAUGUUAUUCUCCCUGAAGAAGUUCUUGGUCAAGUGAGCAUUGUGAACUGCAGCGUUGUCCUGUUGAAGAACCCAGCUGUUACCACACAGACGAGGGCCCUCAGUCAUGAGGGAUGCCCGCUGCAACAUCUGCACGUAAGCAACCGCCGUUUGACAACCCUGCACCACCUGAAGCUCCAGUGUUCCACUGAAUGAAAAAGCACCCCAGAUCAUGAUGGACCCCCCUCCACUGUGCCGGGUAGAAAACAUCUCAGGUGGGAUCUCCUUGUCAUGCCAGUAACCUUGGAAGCCAUCUGGGAACGUCAAGGUUACAUUUUUUCUCAUCAGAGAAUAAAACUUUUUUCCACCUUUCAAUGUCCCAUGUUUGAUGCUCCCUGGCAAAGUCUAAACGGGCAGUUUUGUGGCCUUGAAGGAGACGAGGUCUUUGAAUUCUUUUUUUGUUUUUUACACCCUUUUGGUUAUUGGUUAUUGGUUAUUGGUUAUUGGUUAUUGGUUAUUGCGCUGCAGUUGAUACCAGUAAGGGCCUUAAUGUGGGUCGAACACCGCCCUGUGUCUUGAUGGACAGCCAAUCGGAUCCUCCGGCUCAGUGCAAGUGUGAUUUUUUUGGGUCUACCACUUGACUUUUUUGUUCCAUAAUGCUCAGGAGCUUUCAAAAAAUGGAGAAUGACUGAUUUACUGCACCCAACCUCAGCAGCAGUGUGAUUAAUGUUGGCAGAUGUUGUCGUCCAUCCAUUCAUUUUCUUUACUGCCUGCCCUCAUUAGGGUCACGGGUGAGCUGGAGCCUAUCCCAGCUGACUUCAGAGGAGAGGUGGGGUACACCCUGGACUGCUCGCCAGCCAAGCAGCACACAUAUAGUAUAGAAAUAGUAGUAAUAGUACAGUAGUAGUAAUAGGAAACAACCAUUCAUACUUAUGGACAAUUGGGAGUCUCCAGUUAACCGAACCGAACAUGCAUAUUUUUGGAAUGUGGGAGCACCCAGAAACAUGCAGAACAUUUAGAUAUUUGUCAUUUUAAAAAAUGUGUGUGUUUGGCUGGCUGUGGCCUUGAAUGCAACUUCUGAUUGAAAUGACUGAUGCGUCAUUACAAAAGUUACGACCAAUGGAAACCAGACCCCGCCUCCACAUUUCAAAUUAUCGGUUGAUCAGAAAUUCACACGCCUGAAGUGACAGCAAGAAGUGACACGAAGUUAGCUUAUAUCUGUCUGCAUCCUCAGAAGGAAGCAGCCAGGUUGACGGAGGCCAGACCUUCGGAGGCCCCUCCUCCAGCCACGACCAGCCUUGGGAAUCUGGACACGCUAGCCUUCCCCCCCUUCCUGGUUGUGUAAUGUGUUCUCAUCUUUACUCUGACGUCACGAUGGGGAGACAUCUGUUGCCCAGGACCACGAAAGCAGGAAAAAAAAUACAAGGGAAAUUGAAGUUGAUUUAUUUAUGACUUUUUAGCUACUUAGUCCAUCUGUGCAGCACUCUGAUCAACAACACAUUAUUUUUUAAAUGUGUUUAUACAGCGAGCGUGAAUGGUUGUUUGUCUACAUGUGCCCUGAGACUGGUUGGCACCCAAAAUCAGCUGGGAUAGUCUCCAGCAUACCCGGGACCAUAUUGAGGAUAGGCGGCAUAGAAAAUGAAUGAAUUAAUGAAUGUGUUUAUACAGUAAUCCCGUGUUUGUUGCGCUUAAUUGGUUCCAGACCCAACUGUAAUAAGUGAAUUUCCAUGAAGUAGGAUUUCCUAUUUAUAAAUGGAAUACUUCCAUAGUUAGAGCAUAGAAAACCCGUUUACCACCUUCAAAGAACGGGUUUUAACAUUAUUAGAGCCCUCUAGACACAAAAUAACACCCCUAUAGUCACCUUUACACUACUAUUACCCAAUAGAGUAGACAUAAUAAGAGAAAGUAAGACAGAUAUUAGACAUGUUAUAGACGCAUGUUAGCAUUGGGAGAGUUCCUUGGGUUAGUUACCAGUGUAGAAUGCUACAUAUCACGUUUGAAUGAGUCUUCUGAAUGUCUUAUAUUUAUAUUUUCGUUCAUUUAGCCAUUUUUAUGCUUGAAAAUGUUUCAUUUAGGCCAAGAAUACAUAGAAUUGGUUUCAAAAUGCAUGUACUUUGAUUAACAAGAGGCCACAAGUGGAUCACAAAACAGCAAUAAUUUAUUAAUUUGCCUAUUUUGAAAAACGGUGACAGGAUGAAGCUGCAAAGUGGCGAGGGACGACUGCAUAUAGAUACAUCGGAGCAUUUAGGGCCUCUAAAUGCUCAAAUCGGGCCAUGGUGAGGUGUCGGGGGUGGUGCAAGAGGCACAGGGAACUUUCAGUAUCAGUGUCUUCAUACAUCUGUCAUGUGCUGUCUGCCAUAUGUUGCAGCGGUGCACACCUGCCUCCAAUGAUCUCCGCUGGCUUUUAAGCAUGGCGGAAACUACUCCUCCUUGUUGCCUAGUUAUUCCGCCCAUUGUGUUACCUGCAGCUGUUUUCAGUUAAGUACCGCUCUUUGAAUUUUUUCUCAGGUGGUGUAACGGUACAGCUGCUGCCCUUCAAGGCAAAGUGCACAAGUUCAAUCCCAGUCAUGAGCAGUUCCUCUUUUAUUCUGUCGGUUUGUUGUUUUGCACUAACAAUAAUUUAACGGCUCCUCUGCGAAUCACCACCUUGUCAUGAUCGAGGGGUUGAGGUGCCCGAGGGAUCCGAGGAGCUACAGGAUGUGUUCCAACUUGACGUAUAAAAAGUAAAGAUUUUAGCGACGCGCCUUCCUCUGCUGCAGCACCGCUGUGGUCCGCCUCCAUUGUUGUUUUUGUUAUUGAUUCGUUUAUGAACUGUGGGUGCAUUUUAGAUAGAAAUAGAUAUCAACCUUACUGCAUCAAAAAAAAAAAAAAAAGGAUGGCACUAUGCUUCCUCAUUACCUGCAUGUGUACAGUAUUUUAUUACAUCAUACAAUGACAGCUCGUGCAACUUCAAUGCAUGGGGAACUAGCAGCACCAUUUCUAUUCAUUUAUUUGUUUACAUACAUAGUCGUGAGAGAUUUGUAAAAAAAAAAAAAAAAAUGUCCAUGCUUUUUGUCCAACCUUAAUGUGGUUAGGAGUCCAUAAUCACAUUGCAAAUUACGUUCCAAUUCAUUAACACGGCAAAUUUUUACUGCGAAGACAUCGGCCCAGACUGGUACCUGGCAAUACAAAAUCAUCAGCCCCGUUUCCACCGCAGGAACGUUUCCCAUUUAACCUGGGAUAUUGAAGAACCAUGCCUCGUUUCCACCAAAAUAAUAAGGUAAAAUACUUUCCACAGAGCCCAAACUUCUUAUGAAACAAUACGAGUAGUGAGAAAGGACUUUUUCAGAAGCCCAGGAAGUUUUGUGUGCUGAAGAUCCCUCUUUGCAGCGAUUGUUUUCGUUUUUUGAUCCUUUUGUAUUAUUUGUAAAAUUCUAUCCCUCCCCAUAGCCUGAUUCGAAUAACACCCAAGGUUCCCAAAGUGGGGUACGCAUACCCCCAGGUGUAGGCUACGCCAAUUGUAAUAGGGCUACGUGAAUAAAAAUUAAAAACAAUUACUGCCUAACCCUCUCAAUUACGAGUGCGCCUGAACGCCUCACGGCGCAAUGGGGAACGGAGCAGGAAGCAGGAAGGAGGCAACACGCGAUGUUGUGCACUUGCUGCUUUGAACAAAUAAGUACGUUUGAUGAUUAUUUUGUGCAUUAAUAGUGUUUGAUCUCAAAAUAUUUCACUUUUAUCGGUGUUCCAAUCUCCGCACGGUGCUGCGGUGAUACUGCUUUGUCGUGAAUGUUAAACUGUCCCCUUCAAUUUGGUAGUCAAUUAUUAUGCGGAUUUAAACCACAGCCAUCGUCUGUGGACAAAAAAGUGUAAAUGUCUGAAGGGGUACGCCACUGUAAAAAAUGGUUUACCUGGGCUCAAAAAAAGUUGUUGUUAAAAGUUGGUGGAAAUAUUGGUGGAAAGGGGGCUAUGGUGUAUUACUGUAUGGCUGAGACAGGACAUUCUUUAGUGUCCCCCUGAGGUGCUGUAGUCCUCCGUGAUAAAUCACUGAUUUAGUUUCGUUGACGGUCUCUCACGGUUGUCAAAGGUUUCUGGCCUCCGAUGUUUUUUGCGAAUCAUUUUGGAAAGACCCUUGUCAAACACCUCACCAGAGCGAAGAGCGGACACCAAGUCGUCAAAUUCACCACCCUCCUCUCCUUCCACAUUUAUUUGAGCUUUCUUUGCUUUCUGCUCCCUGUCUUUCUUCAUCUGGAGGGCAGAAUGAAAAGAAGAGAAUGAAAAUCAGCAUGAAAAUCAGCUCGCAGAAGUGCCCGUUUUUCCUCUUCCUCUUUACGUCUGGCCAUGUCUUCGUUGGCCUGUUUGGCCUCUGAGAAUGCGGAGAGGAACGUGUCGAAGAUGCCAAAGAAUUCAUCAGGCUGAAGCUGGGACACGUCUUCUCCAAAGUGCCGUAAUGCUUUGCCAAGCUUGAACACCAUGAAAGAUGAGGACAUGUGAGUUCCUUUGCUUCACCAAGUGACUCUUCAACAUCAGACAAGCUGAAGGACGCCACAGUGAUGAACUGACUGACCACAGGAACAAAUUUAUCAUCUGGACCCAGGGAGGGCUGAGCUUGCUGGUACUGUAGUUCCUGGAAAUGUGUGAACAGAAAGCGUGACUGUGACACAGACCAAUAUUUUCGGUGUUGUUGUAUGUCGUAUUAGUUGUACAAAAAAAAUGACAAGCGUGUUUUCUCACAGCUUCAACGCUUUUGAUGCCAGAUCGUAGAUUGUUGAUAUCUUUCUCCAAUUCCAUCAUACUGAAAAGAUAAUAAGAGAAACAGCGCAAACAGUAACACAGGGUCAUGAAGGAAAGGUUUGACCGUUAUCAUUAUCUAUUCUAUCUAUUGACAGCAAUCGUAUUGGAUUUGAUCUAAACGUAUUGUCACUGUGAAGAAAUCAAGGUUAGCGUACAAUAAGACGCACAUUUGUCAUGUUAAUACACUGCGUGAGUCCAUUUCUGUUCUCAGGGUAUUUUUUUACAUUUUUAUCACAAAACGUCCAUAGCCUCUCACAUCAACGCUAACUUGCUAACAAAAGGCCAACCGGAGCCGGAAGUCAGCUACGUAGCCCGUCUAUGACGUCACCAGCAGUUGACUCUCAAAAACGUCUCAAAAUUCUAAAUGCGUAUAAAUGACAAAUGAAAGGGAUAAAUGAGCAUUGAAGGUUACUUUCACCUUCACUGGAGACGUGAUUCUUGAUGUGGGUGUUCCCAAAGACACGAUGUGGCAGCGAGACACAACAGAGACACCACCUUCCCGUUUUGUCAUGAGUUAUUUCGUAAAUUAAAUUCAAUUCAAAAGUAUUUUUCACCGUCAGCACUCUUGAAUUCACCUUUUGUAUAAUAUAGUAAAAUAUAGACAGUGUAAAAAUGAAAUCACAAGUUGAAAAACUAUUACAGAUAAGCUGUACCACGCUGCACCAAUUUACGUUUGGACUUACUUCACUUUAGCAGCCGCUGGCACAUUUUGCAAAUCUUCACCGAGGGCCACAACCAUGGGAAACUUUCUCUCCAAGACAGUCACAAUGUAGUUGAGCAGAGUGACGUUUCUACAAGGACACAUGAACACACAUUCAUCCAUUCAUUGCAUCUCUGCAUGCUUUACAAGCAUUUUGAAAGGGCAACUAUGUGACUCGGUAGUUAGAUAAGCACUUUCAACAAAGAACAUUAGCAUAACCAAUAGCAGGUCUCAAGCAUCUGUGAAGGCUAUUUCUUUUCUUUAGCCUUUCUUCCUGGUCCUUUGGGCCGCGUGCACAUCCGAGAACUUGUCAAUGACCAUACAAUUCAAAAAGUUGUCAAACUGUUUAAAAAAAUACAGGCAAUAUAUUGCUAUCAUCUAGGGGUGCAACGGCACGCAAAAUUCAUGGUUCGGUUCGUUUCAAUGUGUUUGUGUUACGGUUCGAUACUUUUUCUAUACAAAAAAGAAAUGACCUCGCCUUUUUGAAUUCGAAUUUUAUUGAAAUUGCCAACAUUUUUCUCACCUUUUAAAAGUACAGUAUUGCUGCACACACUUAGCACCAUAUGAGGCAAAAAAAAGCAGCAUGUAAUAAGAAUAUAAACAUUUAUCUGAUGGAGAGCCAUGUGAUGCAUUCUUAGCAGAUGAGUAAAUAUUACGAAGAAACAAAUCCUUACCAAAUCAAAGCUCCGUACCCAUCUUCUGGGGUACAUUCUCAGCAGUAUAUUCAACAAAAAACAGGUGGACAGCAAUAAACGUAGCUGUCACCACCCGGUCGACCUCUUUUGUAGCAUUUGUGCGCCUGGUUUUUGUCUGUUUCCAGUUUGUCCCAAACACCAGAUCUGAAGGAUGGUGGAGGAUCUUCAACACCAGGAGAAGCACUAGCCAUGUUUCAAUGAGCUCAGCGGCUCUGUGUUUGACAACGCAACCGAAGCCAGAGUAGUCGAUUGCAGAUACACUGAGCUUUCAGCACAGAUCGCCAUCAGAAGUUGAUCAAACAAAUAUAAAACUGCGUAUUGUUCGAUACAGGGGUCACGGUUCGGUACGCAGGUGUAUCGAACGGUCCGAAACAGAUACACGUAUUGUUGCACCCCUGCUAUCAACAAUUAGGAAGAUCGGCAAAAGAGCCAAGAAUGAAACUACACAGGGUAUGUAUCGCAGUUGCUGCACCCCUCUAGAAAGUGAAACUUAAGCUUUUGUACCUGGAAAGAGUUAAGUUGGUGUGAGUGAGAUGACAAUGCAUUUUUCCACGAGUCGUAUCUAAGUGUUGUGCAACUGUUUGCGCUAGGCGUGUGUAUUGCAAAGCUCUCUAGAAAGCAGUUAGACUGACAAUGCUCUGAGCUAUUAGCCUGUAUCAUGUCAAACUAAUUGGACUUCAUCAGUUAAUCAGUCGAUUACUGGCGCAUGCUUUCAAAUGUUAACCGUACUUGUCAAUACUUGACUUGGUGUCUGCAAUCUUGUUCAGACUAGAGACUUUAAAUCCAUAAGCAUUUCCUCGCUGCCCUUUGUUCAUGUAGUUCCCCAAGGCUAGAACCACCUCUAACAGUUGACGGAGACGUCCACUCCUCAUGAGCUCCCUGGAUGCAAGACAUAGAGCUGAAAACACAGACAAACACAAAGAUGCUCCGUCAUAGACUACAGAGUUACCAUCAACAAAUAGUACCCACAUUUUUCAGUAUUUUUCUUUCAUUCAUCAAGACAUUCUGUGAUACCUUUGAUUUUAGGUUUGACGUCGGCCACUCUUUCAGCAAACUUCUUCUUCAAGUGAAGAGACAAAAGUCUUUGUUGAUAGUGGUUGAUCCUGGAAGAGAACAAUCAGACAUCGUGUAAGUAGGCUCAAAAAGGAAUGCUAAUGUUGAAAUACUAUAUGGACAUCAUUAAAGUCGUCUUUCCUCGUCACUUAGCGCUUAGAAUUUUGCGGCUUCACUCUGUAACUCUUUUUCAAAAUAGAUGAAUGAAUUGUCGCUGUUUCGUGGUUUUCGGCCUAUUAUUAGUCCAGAAAUGUGCAUGUUUCAGCAAAAUCUGCAUAUUUUUUGGCUAAAUGAAGUAGGGAUGUUCCGAUCGAUCGGCCACCGAUCAAAAUCUGUGAGAACGCAUGUAAUCGGCAUAUGCCGACAAAUGCCUUUCAACGCGAUCACAAAAGCCAAUCACCCGUGGCCCGUACUAAUGCAGCAUGCGGCCUGUAACCAGCGUCUCCCGCCGACUUGCCUUUCCUUUCACACUGCGCAGGCGUGCCAAACCCAAAGCAAACAUGUCUGCCUUGUGGGAUUUACCUGUCGUUUGAGAGUGAUAUCAAUUUUGCACCCUGCAAAACAUGCCACGAAAAAUAUCUCGCAGGGGUAGCACGUUAAAAAGCCAAAAAAUAAUUAAAUUCAUCGUACGAGAUGACCAUCCUUCAUCAGCUGUGCUGUCUCACGUGGAACCCACCUACGUGCUGCCUGGAAGUCCACCAAUGUACUCUCACAUCCAAAGUCUCCUCGUCUGUAAGUUUCACCAGUGAUAUGCCGUAUGCUCUCUUGAAAAAGAAAUGUUUUUGUCUAAAUGAAAAACAUUUUUUCAUAUCAUAUAGCCAAUAGUAAAUGUAAAAAUGUACACUUAAUCUAUGUGAUCGGCAUCGGUAAUGGGCCCAUUUCACUCAUGGAUGAUCGCUAUCGAAAUCGGUAGCAUCAAACCCGGAUCGGAGCAUCCCUAAAAUGAACCAAUUUCAAGCAUAAAAAUGACUAAAUGAACUAAAAUACAAAUAUAAGACAUUCAGGGAAGGCAUUGAAAGACACGCUGUGGUAUGUAGUAUUCUACACUGGUCACUAGGUGUCAGCAAUGUUACAUUAACUAGACAGUGACACUGCAGGAAAUAAACCCGUAAAAAAAUCUCCCAAUGCUGGUGUGAGUCCUUAUUAUGUCUUAUGUUCUAUUAUUAGGUCUACUUUAUUAGGUAAUACGAGUAUAAAGGCGACUCUAGGGGUGUUAUUUCACGUCUAGAGGGCGCUAAUAAUGUUAAAACCGUAUCUAGGUCAUAUUUAGUUUUUUUGUAUGCUCUAACUACGAAGAUAUUCUAUUCAUAAGUAAGGGAUCCUACUUGGUGGUAAUUCACUUAUCAUGGUCUGGUCUGGAACCAAUGAGUCGCGAUAAACAAGGGAUUACUAUAUUGGAAUAUCAGGACACCAACAGGAGGGUAAAAUGUGCAGUUCAUCUUCCUUUUGCAGCUAAGCAGCUUGCACUCUUGUGGGAAAAGUUUCUUUUUGAAGUGGGAAUGUUUGCCAAUUCAUCAAAAGCAAUUCAAUUAGUGAGGUCAGAGGUAAUCGAUUUCUAUUUCAUUAUCUAUUUUUCAAAAUGUAUUAUCUAUUUUAUUUAUGAGGAUUUUUUAAAUUCCUUUUUCGGUUAACAUCGAAACUGUAAGCCAAAGUUUGCCUGGGCUUGCGUACAUUUUUCGGUGAGCGUACAAUAUGCCGCGUGUCUCGUCGCGUUAUUAAGGCACCGCGUGAGUGCAACUGUGUUCUUAAUGUAUUUGUUGUCACAAAACGUUUUAAUUUUUAAGCAACAAUUUCUUAUUUUUUUCCUAAAAAGAAAAAAAUAUCUUGUGUAGCAAUUUUCACUUGAGAAAAAUAAUUUUAUAUUAAAAGUAUAGCCAACCGAGGUCACAUUUUACAAUAAUGUACACAAAAAUACAGUAGUUACUGAGGAACUAAUGAACUAAUGAGGAACUAAUGACUUAGGCACAUAAAUUUAGACUAGUUACUGAGGAACUAAUGAAGAACUAAUGAGGAACUAAUGACUUAGGCACAUAAAUUUAGACUAGUUACUGAGAAACUAAUGAGGAACUAAUGAGUAGUGGUUAGGCUUAGGUAGGUUCGUUCCUCAUUAACUACUGUAAUUUUGUGUACCUUUAUUGUAAAGUGUUGCCAAUUCUUAUUAGGAUUUUUAUUUUGCCAGAAAUUAGUUCUUUUUUCUAAUAACCAGCUGUAAACCUUAUUUGGAUAAUUCUUCAACAACAGAUGAAUGUAUAUUUGUCUUAAAUUAAGAAUAAAACUGGUUUCUAAACUUUCUAAAUUUAAGACUGGACUCACACGCAGAAAAUAUAUCUACGCUGCAAAAAAUACAUUUCAAGUAAUGAAAAGAAUUCCAAUUUUCCAUUACUUUAAUUUGAUUCAGGAAAAUAUGACUCUAUUUUUACCUAUUUUUUAACAUUUUAGAUAGAAUCACACUUUUUUGUUUUUAAAUAAGGGUCCAUCCAUGUAAUUUGCUUCAUGCUUGUGGAAAACCUCAGACCGGUGAAGAAGUAGCCAACAUAACUACCAUGCCGACAAGAGAUGUUGGCUGCAACAAAAACUGUCCAUUUGGUAAUAAGCACAUUUUACUUAAAUGUAGCUAUCUGAUUAAGAACAACUUGCUUAUUUUAGGACUCAUUAUGCUCUUAAAAGACAAGAAAAAUAUUCUAGUUAUAAGAAUUUUAGCCAAGCAACUUUUCCUUAACACAUUGGCAGAUUUUUUUGCUUGAAAUAGGAAAAGUUGUCUCAUUUUAAUAUAAUUUGGGCUUCUUUCAAGUAUGGCUGUUUUUGCCGUGUGGCAGCUUGCUAAUACAUGGAAAAGGGAAGCGGAAGUCAGCUCCGUCACCCGUCUAUGAUGUCAUCAGUGGUCGACUGUAGUUCUUCGCUCACUAAUACAGUUACGCAACAAAUCUCAAAAAUGUUAACCGUUUUACCUGCAGAAAACAGUUGUAAUGUAUAAAUGACGAACGAAAGGCAAAAAUGAGCAUUUAAAGCUACUUUCACUUCGGUGAUGACGUAAUGACAGACACGAUGAGUUAUGUCUUGAAUUCAGUCGUGUUUCUCACCGUCUUUAUCAAAAUGCUGGCACUUUUAACUCUCUUCUGUUCAAUUUUUUGGGUUAUUUUGCAGCCGUGAUCGAAAGAAAAGCAGAGACUUCAGGUGAGAAACACUACUGAAUUCAAGAAAUAACUGUUCGUGCACAAAACAUGCAAAACAUUAUUGCCGCACCUCCUGUGCUAGGCACGCUGCUAUUAGGGGACAUAACUUGUGCUCCUUACCUCAAGAGCCUAAAAAGCACAAAAAUAAAAGUAACCAAUAGAAAGAAAGAUGUACUUUAUUAUAAAUAUAUAUGCAUGUAUAUCUUCAAACUCGAUAGAGGAAGUCAUUGCUCAUGACCAAAUGUUCAAAACGGUUUUCUUGUUUACCUGCUCAUAUCAUACAGGAAGCGGUCUGGUUUGGCCAUUCGCUCUAGUUCAUGUUUGUGGUCCUCCAACAGCUCAAUGUCGCUUUUCUCCGGAACAAACUUUAGGAGCUUUACCACACAGACAAGAUGUUUAGUGAUAAAUACAUUUCUGCAUUUUUCCAUAUUUUAAAAUGUGACAAGAUUUCUCGUUCAGAAAAAAAGUCUCGUGGGCACUAGGCCUGGGAUGAUGAUAAAUAAAUUAAUUAAUCACACAAUAAUCAUUUUUUGGCUUCAAUAUAUCGGCAUGUGCAUGUGUGUCUGUUUUCCUUCUCUCUCGCCUCCAAACAGGCGGGAAGAGGGUUCACCCUGCGCAUUGGUUUCAGCACCUUGGUGCGUUUGUUCCAUAGAACAACGGCAUGAACUGAGUCAGCCCUUUGGUUACAGUCACUUUGUUUCAGUGGGUGGAGGCGGGAUCGGUAGCAUACACACAUAGUGCAGAAGUGUAACCUAGUAGAAAUUAAAUGAGCAGAUUGCAAUAUAUUGUCAUAUAUUUUUUCAUUGUACUUUUCUUAAAAGUAAUGUUAAAAUCUUGCCUUGUAGACCCAAUCUCGUGCACCGUCUCCUCUCGUGACCCCUAGCACCUACCCAUUUUAGGUACAUUCAUUUAAUUUUGACUUUGUCAGGUAUCUCUAUUUCAACAAAAUGAUCAAAAAAAACUAAAUUGUUACUGUAUGGUUGAAAUUAUGACCUUGGUGUUGUUAUAAAAAGGCAAUUAUUCAACAAUAACUUGAGAAACUGAAAAAAACUGAAAUCAUAAAUCAGCCAUCACAUUGACAGCCAGCUCCUCUCCCAAUAAUGUCAGCUUUUCUUGAUUCCCGUAUUGCCUUGUUUUCCAGUAUUCCUGCACAAAAACAAAGCAAACGGCGACGGACGUGGCCAAAUUUGUGCUAAGGGCUAAAAUCUAUAUUAUGGCGCAGCCCUACUGUAUGGUACAGUAUACUGUAUGUUGGUAUGGACUGUGUUGCCUAACGUGCCUGUGAAUACUGUCAUUCAUCCAGGUGAUUGUAUUCUCAAGGCAUUCAUUCAAUCAAUUGCAACUGGAUUGCCUCUCACCCGAGCAAGCUUCAUCAGUCCAUGCUCAGGGACUAGGUGGGACAUGCACCAAUCUAGAUAGGACAGCUCUAGUCUGUGUUGCCUACAGGGGGAGUGACAUCCUAUGUGCUGGCUACGUGCAAAAAUGGGGAAAAUCACAAGAGCCCGCACGGAUUUUCAAACCAGCAGACAGCACACAAAGCCAGUGGAAAGAAAAUUGGGAUGCAAAUUAUUUUCUGCGUGCACGCAGGAAACCUUGCACACAGCCAGGUUCCAAGAGCGAGGCAGAGGAGGAGUGCGUGUGUCGAAAGUUUAAAAGUACAUUGUGUACGUUGCCCGGCCACGGCAGCGGCUCCUCCCGAGGCGGGUGAUUCGUCCAGCUGUACACUCUGGUUCUCCCGACCUCCGUGGACACCUGAUGGCUGCUCACAUAGCGUAUCCGACAUUAAUGCGCCUUACCAGGCCAGAGCGGGUGGCUCUUCCCGCUGUACACUCUGGUUGUCCCGGUCCAGAUAGCUGUAGGUGCCGUAGGAAGCCAGUACGCCCAUCUUGCAAUCGAAGUGAGUGGGCUUUGCGAGCCUGGUACGAUGCCCACACACGGUACGUCCCCAGUGAGUGAAACGUACGACAGCCUUACAUGAAGCGCAACUAGCGAGCACGAGUCGUACGGCGCACUCACGAUCUAAAAGCUGCCAACGGAGGGCGAGCGGCAAGCACGUGGGUGUCACGAAUCACUUGCUCCAUAAGUACGACACGCUUGCAACCCCUCUGAUACCCUACUUCCCCUACGUGCUGGCCACGGCCAACUCAUUUCCCAAAAAUUGCAAAGCCCGUGCGUGUGGCAACACGUACGUCGGGAUGCAACUCCCUCUUAAUACGCAUCAGCAGUCAGAGAGCAACAUUACCUGCUCGAGCAUGUCUUUUGGCAAAUCUUCCUGUUCAUCCAUGGACAGGAUUGCUGAGCGAAUUUCCUCGUUGGUCAGUUUAAGCCUGUCAGAACAAUACAAAGUGUGUCAGAAAAUUUCCAGGACUGGCGUCAUAAAAUAUGUAUUUAGAGUCCAAACUAUAAGUGUUCCCCUUCUAAGACAAAUUUUCCUCUUCUAAGUAGAGUUAGUUAACCCUAACUCUAACUCCUUGAUGGCUGCAGAGAGCUCCUAACCCUAACCCUAACCCUUUUGAUGGUUGCAGAGAUCUAUUAACCCUAACUCUAACUCCUUGAUGGAUCCUCCGCAGCUCCGUCGUCACAGCCUUUUUGAUGUCGGCCACAUCUUCAAAACGGGUUCCCUUGAUGACCCCCAUGAAGAUCCAUGACUCAUCACCAGUGAUGACUCCGUAGCAAGUCUGGUUGGGUUUCAAGAUGCUCGAGGAUGUCCUGACACACUUGCAUGUGUCGAUCCUUCUGGUCAUUGUUAAACAGUUUUGGUACCGUCUUUGCGAAUACUUUCCGCUUAUCCAAAUCUUGAGUGCUAAUCUUCCAGACGCUGUCUUAAUUCAUGCACAGCUCAUUUGCUCAUCAGUCAAACGGUCAGACACCAUCUCCCUGACGCGGUCAAUAUCGACCUCAGUCCUGGUCGCUCAGCGCCUUCCGCUCCUGGGGUCGUCUUCCUCGUCUUCGCGUCCUUCUUUACACCUCUUGCAUCACUCAAAAACAUCUCCGUGCACUUGCUGCAGCAAUCCCAGUGCUUCUGACGGCAUUGUCCCCAACUGUACCAGAAAGUUCAAGCUUGUUUGUUGCUCUGUGCUCAUUGCUUGAUGACCUCAGAGGAUAGCUUAUAUAUAAAAUCAUGUGGAAAAACGUGAUGGCUGCAGAGAGCUAAGACCACAAUUCCAUACUCCUAACCCUAACACUAACCCUUUUGAUGGUUGCAGAGAUCUAGUAACCCUAACACUAACCCUUUUGAUGGUUGCAGAGAUCUAGUAACCCUAACUCUAACCCUUUGAGGCUGCAGAGAGCUCAGAUCACAGUUACAUACUCCAGGGAGAUUGCUUUGAAUGGGAAAACUCUUAGUUUGAAGUUUGGGUUUGAAAUAAUAAAUCUUUCUUGACACCAGUCCUGGGACUUUCCUGACACACCUUCUACACGACAGCAUGCAACUGACAAUAUAGAAGCCCAUAUUUGAAGCAUUAAUUGUGUUCAUGUGAAGCAGAACAACACAUGGAGGCUGCUCCCAGCAAAAAGUGACAGAUUAUUUAUGAGCUGGUGGCUUUUCGUUAUUCAUUGCACACACUGACCGUGACAGCAGAAUGUUGCAGUUCUGUGCUCUGCGACCAUCGAUCACAGAAAGCUCCUUCACUCUCCUUGCAGAGGCAAUAUCAUCGACGGUUUCUUUCUGUUAAUAAGGGGAAAGGAUAAAUAAAAUAAUCUCAAUGCACGUACAGACGUAAGGCAGCAGAAAAAGAUGUCAAGUUCCAUAAUGGUGUCAGGUUACUUGUGGCCUCUGGUAGGCUGAGAAUGUCCGCUGAAAUUCAUCCAGAUCAAGAACUCUGAACACCCUGAGAUCGUCAAUUUCUGUCCAUAUUGUGCCUUCAGUUUUACUCUGAAAAAAACAAAGAUUGCAUAUAGAACACAAUCAUUUUUUUUCUCAUCCACUCAUGCAUAUAACAGAAACUAAACUAAACGCAUCAAAAGUCCCCUUUUGUUAUGUCAUUUUAUUUUAAUUAUUUGGACUUUUAUUUUAUUUAUUCAAUUCAGCUGUUCAUGACGCUGGCCACCUCUGGUAUAAUUGCCGACGUCAUCAGUUGACUGCAUCACAGGAAUCUACCCUGUGGUACCCCUUUUCCACGGCAGCAAACUUUAGUGCUGGUGCCGGGCUACUUUGAAGGUAGAGCUGAGCCGAUUCACAGACGACUCUGGGCAAGAAGUGACUCUACACCAGUGUUUGUUAUCACGAGGGCAAGCUAGUAGGCCUAGCAGCAGCGUACCUCGGGUAGUUUGCUCCAGUUGAACGACUUCAGUGGAUUUGAUGACCGGGGAAUAUUCUUCUGCUUGGUGCUUCCUAGAGGAGCCCCCGGUGGAGGAAGAGGAGGUGGUGCAAAUGGGGCAAUGCCAAAAACUGGAGGGGCCCCCGGUGGGGGGGGAGGUGGAGGAGGUAGAGGAGUAGAUGAAAUAGGAACAGGAGGAACCACACUUCCAGGAGUCACAGGAGGGCCGCCAGGAACACCGGAUGUCUAAUUAGUGCAAUUAAAUAUAUACAGUAUAUAUAAAAAAUCAAAUCAAAUCAAUGCCUUCAACUCCCUUUUUAAAAAUACUAAUGUACACAUCCCCAAAAUGGCAAGAUUUUGUGAUGCAAAACAUGACACCAUUAAUUAUUUUUAACCUGUCCACCGCAGACGUACUGGGCUAGCAAGCUUGUUGCUGUGUGAAGCAUGACGUCAUCACUCGUGUGCCGAUAUAAUUAUCGGAGGAAUAAAACGAUAUCGAUUACCGUAUUUUCCGUACUAUAAGUCUCUCCGGAGUAAGUCACUCUAGCCAUAAAUGCACAAGAAGAAGAAAAAACAUAUAUAAGUCGCACUGGACUAUUGGUGGGAAAUUUAUUUUAUAAAAUCAGAGAGAAUAACAGGCUAAAUAGGCGUCUGUUAACGUAACGUGAAUAGGUGGUACGCCAACGUAACAUAUUGACAGUUGUUCACAUAACUAUAGCCUAAACAACAUAACGUAACUUGUUUAAUCGCAGCUUGUGAUCUGCAGAAUCUGAUUUUCUUUUUGGGGGCAUUUCUGUUCCGGCUUUCUCAGUUGUCUUUAUAAGUUAACGUUUACAUUGUACAUUUUGAGUGGCACAGGAGUGAUAGGAGUAGCAGAUACUGGCACACAAGCCUAGAGCGCACCUCUCACGGCUGUCAGUGUGGAAAAAAAAAACAUAUAUAACUCGCUCCGGAGUAUAAGUUGCAGGACCGGCCAAACCAUGAUAAAAGUGGGACUUAUAGUGCGGAAAAUACGGACUAUACCUUCUAGAUUCAGUGUGUUAGCUAUGUGAAUUUUCAGUCUAACAACCUCUCACAGGGGCCUUCAGGACACACAAACACACACACACACUCACAUAGCACAACUAGAAUUGCACAACACUCCCAGAUAACCCAUGGAAAACUACGGGGAGGCAUACAGUCAUGGAAAAAAUGAUUAGACCACCCUUGUUUAUUUAUUUUUGAUCAAUUUUAAUGCCUGGUA